CCUACGGGAGGCAGCAGUGAGGAAUAUUGGUCAAUGGGCGAGAGCCUGAACCAGCCAAGUCGCGUGAGGGAGUACUGCCCUAUGGGUUGUAAACCUCUUUUGUCGGGGAGCAAAAGCCGGACGUGUCCGGCUGUGAGAGUACCCGAAGAAAAAGCAUCGGCUAACUCCGUGCCAGCAGCCGCGGUAAUACGGAGGAUGCGAGCGUUAUCCGGAUGUAUUGGGUUUAAAGGGUGCGCAGGCGGGUUUUUAAGUCAGCGGUAAAAUCGCGGGGCUCAACCCCAUCCAGCCGUUGAAACUGGGGAUCUAGAGUGUGCGAGAGGUAUGCGGAAUGCGUGGUGUAGCGGUGAAAUGCAUAGAUAUCACGCAGAACCCCGAUUGCGAAGGCAGCAUACCGGUGCACAACUGACGCUCAGGCACGAAAGCGUGGGUAUCGAACAGGAUUAGAUACCCCAGUAGUC
rnacentral:rRNA from 1 species